rnacentral:rRNA from 1 species
GACGAACGCUGGCGGCGUGCUUAACACAUGCAAGUCGAACGGAAAGGCCCUGCUUUUGUGGGGUGCUCGAGUGGCGAACGGGUGAGUAACACGUGAGUAACCUGCCCUUGACUUUGGGAUAACUUCAGGAAACUGGGGCUAAUACCGGAAAGGAGCUCCUGCUGCAUGGUGGGGGUUGGAAAGUUUCGGCGGUUGGGGAUGGGCUCGCGGCUUAUCAGCUUGUUGGUGGGGUAGUGGCUUACCAAGGCUUUGACGGGUAGCCGGCCUGAGAGGGUGACCGGCCACAUUGGGACUGAGAUACGGCCCAGACUCCUACGGGAGGCAGCAGUGGGGAAUAUUGCACAAUGGGCGGAAGCCUGAUGCAGCAACGCCGCGUGCGGGAUGACGGCCUUCGGGUUGUAAACCGCUUUCGCCUGUGACGAAGCGUGAGUGACGGUAAUGGGUAAAGAAGCACCGGCUAACUACGUG